rnacentral:rRNA from 1 species
AUUGAACGCUGGCGGCAGGCUUAACACAUGCAAGUCGAGCGAGCGGCGGACGGGAGAGUAAUGUAUGGGAAACUGCUUGAUGGAGGGGGAUAACUACUGGAAACGGUAGCUAAACCCGCAUACCUUCAGUGGUGCCCAGAUGGGCUUAGCUAGUGGGUGGGGUAAGGGCUAACCUAGGCCAAGAUCCCUAGCUGGGCUGGAAGGAUGACCAGCACAACUGGAACUAAGAAAGGGCCCAGACUCCAACGGAAGGCAGCAGUGGGGAAUAUUGUACAAGGGGCGAAAGCCUGAUGCAGCCAUGCCGCGUGUGUGAAGAAGGCCUUCGGGUUGUAAAGCACUUUCAGCGAGGAGGCGUUACUCGCAGAAGAAGCACCGGCUAACUCCGUGCCAGCAGCCGCGGUAAUUC